rnacentral:rRNA from 1 species
UCUGACACAGGUGCUGCAUGGCUGUCGUCAGCUCGUGUCGUGACGAUGUUGGGUUAAGUCCCGUAACGAGCGCAACCCUUGUCCUUAGUUACCAGCACGUUAUGGUGGGCACUCUAAGGAGACUGCCGGUGGACAAACCGGAGGAAGGUGGGGAUGACGUCAAGUCAUCAUGGCCCUUACGGCCUGGGCUACACACGUGCUACAAUGGUCGGUACAAAGGGUUGCCAAGCCGCGAGGUGGAGCUAAUCCCAUAAAACCGAUCGUAGUCCGGAUCGCAGUCUGCAACUCGACUGCGUGAAGUCGGAAUCGCUAGUAAUCGUGAAUCAGAAUGUCACGGUGAAUACGUUCCCGGGCCUU